rnacentral:rRNA from 1 species
CUGGAAAGAUGAAUCAAAGAAGGUAAUAAUCCUGUAGUCGAAAAUGUUGUCUCUCUUGAGUGGAUCCUGAGUACGACGGAGCACGUGAAAUUCCGUCGGAAUCUGGGAGGACCAUCUCCUAAGGCUAAAUACUCUCUAGUGACCGAUAGUGAACCAGUACCGUGAGGGAAAGGUGAAAAGCACCCCGGAAGGGGAGUGAAAUAGAACCUGAAACCGUGUGCUUACAAGUAGUCAGAGCCCGUUAAUGGGUGAUGGCGUGCCUUUUGUAGAAUGAACCGGCGAGUUACGAUUUGAUGCAAGGUUAAGCAGUAAAUGUGGAGCCGUAGCGAAAGCGAGUCUGAAUAGGGCGUUUAGUAUUUGGUCGUAGACCCGAAACCAGGUGAUCUACCCUUGGUCAGGUUGAAGUUCAGGUAACACUGAAUGGAGGACCGAACCGACUUACGUUGAAAAGUGAGCGGAUGAACUGAGGGUAGCGGAGAAAUUCCAAUCGAACCUGGAGAUAGCUGGUUCUCUCCGAAAUAGCUUUAGGGCUAGCCUCAAGUGAUGAUUAUUGGAGGUAGAGCACUGUUUGGACGAGGGGCCCCUCUCGGGUUACCGAAUUCAGACAAACUCCGA